CUUCGCGUAGCUUAGUGGUAAAGCGAUCGCCCUGUAAGCGAGAGGUCCUAAGUUCGAUCCUCAGCGUGGAUG